AUCCUGGUUUUCAAGUACCCCAGCAGAGAUAGGGUUAAUGGAGUAAAAGAAAAAUGCAAAAGAAGAAAAAAUACCAAGACAAGAAUUGAAUCCAAGAAGUGCUCCAACCAAAGAAAUAGUUGGGCUUAGUGGAUAGUAAAAAUAAUCCACUCGAGACAGUUGCUACAACACCAGGUAGCAGCGAACAAAGUUCAUCAAACAAACUUCCUGGAGAAUUCAACAACAGAUCAUAGAACAAAAGCACAACAAGUCUACUCGCAACUCUUCUCAACCAUCCCCACCAAACCUUGAUAUAGCUUUUGAUGUGUUGGGGUAAAACAAACGAUAGACAAAAAUAUUUGUUUGCGAAGUAUAUUUUAAAUGGAUGUUUAUUCCCUGAUUAGAUUUGCAAGUAAAAUCUUGAAGUUUUUUUACUUUUAUUAUGGUCUUUAACUUUAUUUUAUAAACAAAGUCUAAAAAACAACCAAAAUUACCAUUUUAUAUUAAUUUUUUUUAACCUUAGUUUCAAAGAAGAAGGGGAUUUUGAGACAUUUUUUGAAUAAAAUCUCUACAUAUAGAUAAGCUAAAAUGUAUGUUCCUCUCAUAAAUUUUUGAAAACCUUUAGAAAUUUACAUCCUGAUCUUUAAAUGUUUAAAUCACUUAACAUAGCAACGAAAAACACAGUUUAUUUCUUACAAUGCAUUUCAACAUGUUUAACCUCUAAAAAAAGACUCAGAGGUCUGAAAAAUCUAGUAAAAACCAACUUCAAGCUAGGCUUCAGCGCCAUUUCAAUCGACUAAUAGUAUACCAAAAUUUGACGUACAAUUCUUCUUUAUCCAAUAGAACCAUGAAACCAUUUGUAUCGACCAAUAACAGACCAAAAUUUGGUGUAAAUCCUCUUUUUUAACCAAUAAAACCAUGUAUGUCAAGGAAUUUUUGUAUUUAUAGUAUGUUAUCCUUUAUAUAUUUGUGCGCAAGGGCAAUCCCUUGUGACUAUUCUAGUAUAAAAGCUUUGUAAACUUUGUAUAUUGCCACUCUAUUCUCUACCUUUGUGAAAUAUAUUCUGACAGAUAAAAGUAAGUCUUUUUAUAAAGUUCCAUUUAUAGAGUCUAUAAUCAGAGAGUUUCCAUCUUUAAGAGUGUUGAACAAAAGAAUGUUAAAGUACUGAAAACCAAAUUUUUAGAAACGGUUCCAAAAGAUCUUAGCGUAAAUAAAAAGAGUUUGACUUCCAGUUGUACUCUUUACAUUGUUUUUAACUUUGUCUGGCUAAGGCAUCAAGACAAUAGUUUAAGUUUAAGUAUAUAGUCAAGGAUAGAUAUCUUUAUAGUUGGACAUUUUAACUUAAAAACAUUCAGAUUUACAUCAUUCUGAAAGUUAGACACUUUCUGAUUAUAUAAAAUAUUGUAAAGCUUCAUUUCUAGACAAAGAUCAAUUAAAAAAAAAUUAAAGCCUAGAUUUGUCGCAUGGGAGUAUUCAAACUUUUUAAAACUCUUUGAAUCAAAAAAUGCAUUUUUGAUUAGAUUUAUCACAUCGGACAAAGUUUUUAUUUCUUAAGCCCUAGUUUAGGGCUUCACCUUGGGCCCGACUUAAGAUUAAGCUAACAAAAUCUCAUGACAUGUGAUUAUUAACAUAUUAUUGUAUUUAGGCAUAUAUUCAAAUCCAAGAAACAGACGUGGCCAUGUUCCAGGAAAGUCAUCUUUACAUUUUAUUAUUUUUUUUCAUCGAUACAUGAACAACUUGGAUUGUUGAGAGAAAUUAAAGAAAGAUAGUUUUUUUAAAACAAACUCAAAAAAAUUAAUUAUUUAAAAUCGUUGAACAAUCUUGAUCAUUCAUGAUCAAUUGUUAGUUUUUUUACUGAUCGAAUAAAUACUCUGAAAGAUUGACUUUAAAAAAAUGAUUGAUCAAACGAUUUUUAUGAGCAAACAAUUUUAACAAUUGACCAGCUUUACUAAAGAACGAUUUUACUUAACAAUUGUUCAAUAAGAAAACAAAAGAAAUAGAUGGAAAAUGAACGAUAAUUUUAAAAUUGAACGAAAUCAAUAUUUUUGAACAAUUGAAAAAAAUGAAUGAAAUGGUUCGUUAACGAACAAUUAACAAAUACAAUUAAAAAUGCUGAACAGGUGAGUAACUAAUGAUUAAUUUGUUUCACUGAUAUUGCAUUAUCUCUAAAAUGUAGAUAAAACAAGUCAAAAUUGAUAUUUAUGAUUUGGAUUAUGAAAAAAUCAUCAUAAACUACUUUUUUGUUUUGGCAAGGUAAUAACGAACAUUCUGACCAUGUCCAAUUACAGACUGUCCAAGAUGUUACACUCCGAAUAGCAGAGGCAAAUGUGUUCAUUAUUGUGGGAGGAAAUAACUGCCUAACAGUCUUUUAACACACAAGAGGAAUCAUUUUCUGCGAUUCAUACUCAAGCGUGUGGGAAUGGAAAAAUCGUAUCUAUAAUAUCUUAUAUUGUUUGUACCGAUUAUCAACACUAAUUCUAUAGUGAAUGCUACAAAUUAAAUAAAUGUACGUAAAGGCUUA